rnacentral:rRNA from 1 species
AGGACGAACGCUGGCGGCGUGCUUAACACAUGCAAGUCGAACGAGGAUAUACCUGGAAAGCUUCGGCCGGAAGGGUGUAUCGAGUGGCGGACGGGUGAGUAACGCGUGAGCAAUCUGUCCCAGACAGGGGGAUAACACUUGGAAACAGGUGCUAAUACCGCAUAAGACCACAGUGUCGCAUGGCACAGGGGUAAAAGGAGCGAUCCGGUUUGGGGUGAGCUCGCGUCCGAUUAGCCAGUUGGCGGGGUAACGGCCCACCAAAGCGACGAUCGGUAGCCGACCUGAGAGGGUGAUCGGCCACAUUGGAACUGAGAGACGGUCCAAACUCCUACGGGAGGCAGCAGUGGGGAAUAUUGGGCAAUGGGCGAAAGCCCUGACCCAGCAACGCCGCGUGAGUGAAGAAGGCCUUCGGGUUGUAAAGCUCUGUUAUAGGGGACGAAGGAAGUGACGGUACCCUAUAAGGAAGCCCCGGCUAACUACGUGCCAGCCGCUGC